rnacentral:rRNA from 1 species
AGAGUUUGAUCAUGGCUCAGAUUGAACGCUGGCGGCAGGCCUAACACAUGCAAGUCGAGCGGAUGACGGGAGCUUGCUCCUGGAUUCAGCGGCGGACGGGUGAGUAAUGCCUAGGAAUCUGCCUGGUAGUGGGGGACAACGUUUCGAAAGGAACGCUAAUUCCGCACUAGGUCCUACGGGAGAAAGCAGGGGGCCUUCGGGCCCCGUCCUUUCACAUGAACCUGCGUCGGAUUAGCUUGCUGAUUAGCUAAUGGUUCUUCUACAGGAAACACCUAAGACCAUGAUUGCGGAUUCUCUGUCCCUCGUUUU